UACGUAGGGUGCGAGCGUUAAUCGGAAUUACUGGGCGUAAAGCGUGCGCAGGCGGUUUUGUAAGCCAGAUGUGAAAUCCCCGGGCUCAACCUGGGAAUGGCAUUUGGGACUGCAAGGCUUGAGUGCGGCAGAGGAGACUGGAAUUCCUGGUGUAGCAGUGAAAUGCGUAGAUAUCAGGAGGAAUACCGAUGGCGAAGGCAGGUCUCUGGGCAGUAACUGACGCUGAGGAGCGAAAGCGUGGGGAGCGAACAGG
rnacentral:rRNA from 1 species